ACUCACUAUUGUUAAUUACUCUCAUUUUAAUUAAUGAAGUGGUGACCCAGUUUUUUGUUCACUUAUUUGGUGGCAGAUAACCUCCACCUACUGGGAUUUUUAAGAUUUACUUCAUAUGGUAAGCAAAUGAUAAAUUCAUAUAGAACCCAUUUGUAAAUUUUAUUAUAUCAAUUUAAUUUUUUUUUAAAGGACAAUGUGCUUUAUAUCAACAAGCUAGGUGUGAGAGCUCUCCUAAUACUCAUCAACUUGCAGAGGUAUAUUUUGGUCCUAUAAAAAGGCUUUCUUUUUUCUUUUUUUAUGUUUUCUUUAGAGGAGGAAGUGUGGAAGAAAUCUUAAUUUGUUACAAUCUCCAGAAUUGUAACCAGGGGGAUAAAAAGAAAAUUUAGCCAUUGGUUGCUGAUAAGUUCCCCUUACUUUGCUCUUAUUUGGCAGUUCUGGAAAGUAAUUCUAAUCAGUUUCAAAAACUCAAACCUUUAGUUUUUUUUAUUUGGCAAAAAGUGCAAUCGACAUGAAAUAGGGGGAAAUUUGUGUUUCUGGUAUCUCUUACUUGAUGUAGGUUUGAGCCCAGAGUUUAAAUGCCAUCUAACUUUGAUUUUGCAUCUUAAUCAAAAUUGAAUUGUGUGCCUCCCAAAAAAGAUCCGUUGGAGUCCUAACCCCCAGUACCUCAGAAUGUGGCCUAAUUUGAAGAUGGAGUCUUUACAGAGGUCAUCCAGUUAAAGCGAGGGGGGAGCCUAAUCCAACAUGGCUGGUAUUUUCAUUAAAAAAGGGAAAUUUGCCCCUGGGGAUAAAAAUACACUAUAUGUUUAUUAAAAAAAAUUAAAAAUUUUUUUAAAAAAAGGGAAAUUUGAAUACAACGCGGGGAACACCAUGGGCAGAUGAAUGGGGUGAUGCUUCUAUAGGCCAAAGAACACCAAAAAUUGCUGGCAAACCUUCCAGGAACCAGCAGAAAGGUAUGACCAGAUUCUCUUUCACAGUCCUUUCACAGAUUCUCUUUCACAGGAGACAAACCUGCAGACACACUUGGAUCUUGGACUUUAGUCUCCGGAGCCAUGAGAAUAAAUUUCUCUUACUUAAGCCACCCAGUCCAGUUUGUGGUACUUUGUUUCAGCAACCCGAGAGAACUCGUGUGUAAGAGAAUCCAUGUUUUGAUGGCAUUAGUUACCAAAAAUAGGUACAGAAGCAAAGUUGAAUAUGACUUUCCCCAUGUGUGAUAAAAAGGUGUCAGUAGAAGUGGUUUUGACCAGGGGAAGAUUUCUCACCUCUGGAGUGGGGGAAUGCCGGGUUCUUUUGUUUUCUGUUUGACGCUUCCUUAGACUCCCAUGCAGCUCUGUUGAGCUUGUACCUCCAAAGGGCCAUCUGAAACCGCUCAGAACUUUGUUUUUCCUUUCUUUAGGACUGCCAGUUGCUGCCUGGCUGCAUCUUUCUCAAUUCAAGGACUUAUGUAGGAGUUGGCAGAGGUAAAAGAUCUAGCACUGAGAAGAAACUUUGUAUAGCAGCCCUUGCCCCAGGUGGAACAUGAUGAGAGUUGGCCCUUGGCCAGGGGGAUUUCACCCUGUAAAGGUUUGUACUGGCUCCUUAGCAUCCACAUGCCUGACUGAAAAGCAUGGAUGCAGCCAGAACCAGUUGUGUUGUUCCAUCCCGAAAACUCUUCAUUGUACUUAGGAUAGAAUCUGAACGCCUUGCUGUGAUUGGAAAGUUUCUGCGCACUUCAUUCCCCACUUCCUCUCAGGCCUCAUCUCCUCCCCCUGCUCCGCUUGCUUGACCCCACACCAAAGGCCUUUUGCCAGAAGGUUCUCCCUCUGGUUGCUGCUCCCCAUUCAGGUUUAAACUGAAGUCACCUCUGUUAAGGCUUCUGUUCACUCAAAGAUACAUUCCUCAUCCUCUGUUAAUGUGGCAGUGCCUUAUUUAGAGUAUGCACUUCAUUGUGUUUUCCCCGUUAGGAUUUUAGUUCAUGACAGCAAGAAGGAUCAUCACUCUCAUUAACCUAGCAUGGUGCCUGAAACAGUACUGUGAUUUGUUCUACCUUGUUGAAUUGGUUUACUUUCCAUGAUUCCCAGUUAGAUCAAGAAUUUAUUUACCUUGGAACCAUAAAAAAGCAACAGUUUGUCAGCUGAUCUUGAUGUUAAAACAAAUGGUCCAGGAAGGACCGUAAUACUAUAGGGAUAAUAUCUUCAUCAAUCCCUCACUCCAUUAGUGUGCCAGGUCCUGUUCAUGGAAGAUAGCAAAGAAAGUUACGUUAGCUCCCUCUAUUUGCCACCCUUCUUGUGUCUCCAAACAUGACACGCCUUUACACUUGCUCUUUCCUCUGCCUGGAAUCUCCUUCACCCUCUGCUGAUCUGUAUUUGUCUAUCUUGUCAGCCCACUCCCUCCCCAAGAUCAUAAUUGUUGAGGGCCGACAGGAUUCCGUUUUGUUCACUGUCCUAUAUCCAGAGCUGGGAAUAGUACCUGGCACAUAGACAAUAUUUGUUGAGAAAAUAAUAAUGAAAGAAUGCUUUUUUAGCAAGUGAGGAAAGGUCUCUCUGAGGACAUGGGCAUUUGAAGAGAAACCUGCAUGGUGUGAACUGCAGAAGCUAUCCAUGUGCCUGUCUGGGGACUUGAGUUUUCAACAGGGCCCAAUAAACAGGGUUGCUUUUCCCCCAUUAUGGCUCUGAAUAUGGCAGGAAGUAAGACAAAUGAGUUGGCAGAUGGGUACCAAAAUGUCCUCUUCAUUUUUUACUCAUAUUACAAAUAUUUGUUGAAUGUCUACCAUGGGACAAUUACGGUCUAGGGGAUACGGAUACAAUAGAGAACAAAAUGAAGCCCUUGCUUCAUAGAGCUUACUUUCUAUUAAAGACCGGGCAAGUGCAUAUAUCUAGGCUUCAGAAGUAAAUAUGCUUUGGGACGCCUGGGUGGCUCAGUUGGUUAAGCGGCUGCCUUCGGCUCCGGUCAUGAUCCCAGCGUCCUGGGAUCGAGUCCCACAUCGGGCUCCUUGCUCGUCAGGGAACCUGCUUCUCCCUCUGCCUCUGUCUGCCUCUUGGCCUAUUUGUGAUCUCUCUCUCUCUCUCUCUCUCUCUCUCUAUCUGACAAAUAAAUAAAUAAUCUUUAAAAAGAAGAAGAAGAAGAAGUAAAUGCUUCUUCAAAUUAGCCAAAUGCAUCAACCUAGUCUGGACCAUGGCUCAGCUCUCAUCGUUCCAUCCUGCAAGGGCACAGCUCGCUCACUCCCUAGACGGAUAUGGGCAGAGCCAAGACAAAAAUGCCUCUUUCUUUUUCCCAGAUUAGAGCUUGGAUCAUCAUGCCAUGUUGCAUAGAAUGAAUGCUUCCAUGCAUGUAAGCAGAAGUAGACACUGAGAAUUUAAACCUAGAAGGUGUGAUGUCCCCACAGCAAGGUAGAGCAGUAUGAGGACAGCGGCACCCCUGGAGAAGGAAGACACAGAAGCUCCAUGUCCCUCAACGGGGCCCUCUGCGUGUCUUCUGCCUGGCUGUUCCUGAGUUCUAUAAUCUAGUUGUGGCCCAAACACUCUGCUUGCUGAGGUCUUCUGUCUCCGGACCACCCUGCUGGGUUCUCCCUAUGACCCUGUGUGACCCGCAGCAUCUUCCUCUCUGGAACCUAACUGCUGCCACAGCCAUGGAAUUGCCAGAGUUUGCAGCCAAUACUGAAGAGAGAACAGAGAAGAAAUAGAAAGAACCUCAGGUUCUUGAUGACAUCACUGAGUGGCCACAUCAACCUGCCCCGAGGCCUGACCUCUCUGCAGACUUUCUGCAGCGAGAUAAUAACCUCUCCUCUUGUUUGUACCCAAUGUACCCAAUCUUUUCUUUCACAUGCAAAAUUAAUCUUUAAAUGUAUUUUAUAAAAGUCAAAACACGUAAAUGAGUAAACUCAAAUACACCUUGAAAGAAAACAGAGCAAAUCUGUACAAAUCACCAACUUAUGUGACUAUCUACCUACAUUUGGUCUAUAGGCUGCCAGGGAUUGUGCGGAGGAAGGAUUCCUGUAGUAUUAUUGUAGGUCUUCUACGUACGAACAACUCGAGUUGACUGGAAAUUGUCUUUGGCUUUGAGCCUCUUCCUUAUCUUCACCGGAGCCCAAACAGGAUGUUUGAUCAAGAGAAAAGUCCUUUCAGAGAGGACAUGGCACGUUCCUUAAAUAAACCAAAGACCAUCUGAGGCCUUGAGAUUAACUUGCUUUGCAUGACACUACAUUUUUGAAAAAUUUUUCUCUCUUCCGUCUAAAUUAAAAACACAAAUUAAACCAA